rnacentral:rRNA from 1 species
AAAAACAUAGCCCUAGACAUAAUCUAAGGUGUAACCUGCCCAGUGAUCUUUAAGUUAAAGGACUAAACGCCUGUAAAAAGAUUAAAAGGACGCGGUAACCUUGACCGUGGUAAUGUAGCAUAAUCACUCGCCAUUUAAUUGGUGGAUAGUAUGAAUGGUUGAACGAAUAUUCCACUGUCUUAGAAAGAACUAAAUAAAAUUGAAAUAAUAGUUAAGAUGCUAUUUCAAACUGUAAGACGAAAAGACCCUAUAGAGCUUAACUAUAAUCUUUAUGUAUCUCAAAGAAAAUAAUCUUACAACCAUAAAGAUUGGUAGUUUAGUUGGGGCGACUGUCUUCUAAAUUUAACGAAGACAAGCAAUGUAAUAAUUAACUUAUUGUAUAAUAAAAAAAUUUAACAAUUAUUAAAGUAGGCUAUAAUGACCCGUUAAAGUAUUGAAAAUUAUUUAACGAUUAAUUAAUAAAAGCUACCUUAGGGAUAACAGGAUAAUUUUAUCUUAGAGUUCUUAUCGAAGAUAAAGUUUGUCACCUCUAUGUUGAAUUAAGAUAUCCUGGUAAUGCAGA